rnacentral:lncRNA from 1 species
CGCUGUCCCCUCCGCGAGCCCCCUGGAUAAUGACGCCUUUGACGUUCUUUGGGACGCCCAGGUCCACUUGCAGCCACUCCUCCCCGGGCUGGGCUUGGGGGAUGCGUGGAAACCAGCCUGAACGGCUGCUCACCAAGCGGGCCAUGCUGGGGGACCAGUCGUAGCCUCUGAUAGAAGAGGCCGAGAUCUGCGAGUCAGGGAUGAGGCCAGAAAGCAUCCCCAGCAAGUUGGAGCAGGGCGAAUCGGUGAUGCGGCAGCCAUACAGCUCCAGCCUCAGGGCGAUGCCGUUGUGCCAGCUCUGGGGACGGAUGCGCACAAAGCGUGUGAGCACUGGGCUGUGGAUCUUGUUGAGAACCACCUCCGUGGCAUCCUCAUUGGCCUGAAACGUCUUGUGGUUUUUACCAUGUCGGUACAUCAUCCAGUCCUCCCCGUUGGUGCUGAC